UGGGUGCAGGACGAGGGGGAGGGCGGGGGAGGAAGGAUGAGGGCUGCCAGAAGAGGACUUGAGUGGAGGCUCAGAGGCGGGACAGCACCCAGGAAUUUCCGGAGUACCAAGAGGCCAACGGAAGGGG